rnacentral:rRNA from 1 species
UACGGGGGGGGCAAGCGUUGUUCGGAAUUACUGGGCGUAAAGGGCUCGUAGGCGGCCAACUAAGUCAGACGUGAAAUCCCUCGGCUUAACCGGGGAACUGCGUCUGAUACUGGAUGGCUUGAAUCCGGGAGAGGGAUGCGGAAUUCCAGGUGUAGCGGUGAAAUGCGUAGAGAUCCGGAGGAACACCAGUGGCGAAGGCGACACGCUGGGCCGUACCUGACACUGAGGCGCGAUAGCAUGGGGAGCAAACAGG